UACCUUUUGUAUAAUGGGUCAGCGACUUAUAUUCUGUAGCAAGGUUAACCGAAUAGGGGAGCCGAAGGGAAACCGAGUCUUAACUGGGCGUUAAGUUGCAGGGUAUAGACCCGAAACCCGGUGAUCUAGCCAUGGGCAGGUUGAAGGUUGGGUAACACUAACUGGAGGACCGAACCGACUAAUGUUGAAAAAUUAGCGGAUGACUUGUGGCUGGGGGUGAAAGGCCAAUCAAACCGGGAGAUAGCUGGUUCUCCCCGAAAGCUAUUUAGGUAGCGCCUCGUGAAUUCAUCUCCGGGGGUAGAGCACUGUUUCGGCAAGGGGGUCAUCCCGACUUACCAACCCGAUGCAAACUGCGAAUACCGGAGAAUGUUAUCACGGGAGACACACGGCGGGUGCUAACGUCCGUCGUGAAGAGGGAAACAACCCAGACCGCCAGCUAAGGUCCCAAAGUCAUGGUUAAGUGGGAAACGAUGUGGGAAGGCCCAGACAGCCAGGAUGUUGGCUUAGAAGCAGCCAUCAUUUAAAGAAAGCGUAAUAGCUCACUGGUCGAGUCGGCCUGCGCGGAAGAUGUAACGGGGCUAAACCAUGCACCGAAGCUGCGGCAGCGACGCUGAUGCGUUGUUGGGUAGGGGAGCGUUCUGUAAGCCUG
rnacentral:rRNA from 1 species